GACGUAGGGGGCGAGCGUUGUCCGGAUUUAUUGGGCGUAAAGCGCACGUAGGCGGUUUAGCAAGUCAGGUGUGAAACCCUCGGGCUCAACCCGGGGACGCCGCCUGAUACUGCUAUGACUAGAGUCCAGUAGGGGAGCGUGGAAUUCCUGGUGUAGCGGUGAAAUGCGCAGAUAUCAGGAGGAACACCAGCGGCGAAGGCGGCGCUCUGGGCUGGAACUGACGCUGAUGUUGCGAAAGCGUGGGGAGCAAACAGGAUUAGAUACCCUGGUAGUCCACGCCGUAAACGUUGGGCACUAGGUGUGGGGCCUUAUCAACGGGCUCCGUGCCGUAGCUAACGCAUUAAGUGCCCCGCCUGGGGAGUACGGCCGCAAGGCUAAA
rnacentral:rRNA from 1 species